AGCGUAGGUGGAUAUUUAAGUGGGAUGUGAAAUACUCGGGCUCAACCUGAGUGCUGCAUUCCAAACUGGAUAUCUAGAGUGCAGGAGAGGAAAGUAGAAUUCCUAGUGUAGCGGUGAAAUGCGUAGAGAUUAGGAAGAAUACCAUGGCGAAGGCGACUUUCUGGACUGUAACUGACACUGAGGCUGAAAGCGUGGGGAGCAAACA
rnacentral:rRNA from 1 species